CUGCAACCUCCUUAACUUCCAAUCUUCCCAAAGUGGACUGAAUCUGUACCAGAACUGAAGGCAUCCUGUUCCUGUGGGAAGAGGUCUGUGCUUUAAAGGUCAGAGCUUCUCAGAUUAAAGAAGGGGGAAGGAAUCUGCCUCUGUCAUUUUGGGAGUCCAAAGGACAGCCUGGCUCUUCCAGUACAGUCUCCUACUGCAUUUCUGGAAGAGUGUUCUUGUCCAGGAUGGCUGAUAGCAUAUAUGCUUGGGAUGCUUCCACCCACUUGUGUGCCACAAGUUUCUUCCCAGAAUCCCAAAGGCUUAAUAUGAAAGACCAUAAGCAGCAGUUCUGUUGUUCUGUGGAAGGAAAGCAAGAGUUCAUCACCAAUGUCACAAUUCCUUUGAA